ACAUGAUUCCAUGUAUAAACCAUUGUGCAUUGUCACCCCCUCUAGAUUGAAAUCGGAAACGAGAGAAACGUUUUAACGGUCACUAUUGUAAUUUGAAGACCCAGUUUCUUUCCAGGAUUCGUCCGCUGAUUUCUAACAUAUCUAGAGUGUAAUUCAAAUUACAUAACUUAUUGAUUAACAAUUGAAACCCCUUUUAAACUUUUGAACUAAUGUUUUCAUACUCCAAUAAAACGGAGAUGAAAUUCUUACGAAACAAAGAACAACUCUUAGCAACGGAUAUCUUGGUUCU
rnacentral:misc_RNA from 1 species